rnacentral:rRNA from 1 species
CGCCUCUUGAGUUCAAUAAGAGGUCCAGCCUGCCCAGUGAAAUUAUUCAACGGCCGCGGUAUCCUAACCGUGCGAAGGUAGCGUAAUCACUUGUUCUUUAAAUGAGGACUAGUAUGAAUGGCAUCACGAGGGUUUUACUGUCUCCUUUUUUAAAUCAGUGAAACUAAUCUCCCCGUGAAGAAGCGGGGAUUUUGUUAUAAGACGAGAAGACCCUAUGGAGCUUAAAACAAACAACAUUUGCUGCACAUAAUACUUUUAUCUUCAAGAAGUAUAGCAUUAUGAUAUUUAGUUUUUGAUUGGGGUGAUCACGGAGCAAAAUAAAACCUCCACGCCGAAAGGGUUUAUACCCUGAGCAAAAAGCUACAGCUUUAAGCACUAAAAAAUUAACGUAUUUGACCCAAUAUUUUGAUCAACGAACCAAGUUACCCUAGGGAUAACAGCGCAAUCCACUUCAAGAGCUCCUAUCGACAAGUGGGUUUACGACCUCGAUGUUGGAUCAGGGUGUCCUAGUGGUGCAGCCGCUACUAAUGGUUCGUUUGUUCAACGAUUAAAACCCU